UCCCCAGUGGUUCAGUGGUAAAGAAUCUGCCUGCAAUGCAGGAGGCAUAGGUUUGAUCCCUAGGUGGGGAA
rnacentral:tRNA from 1 species